ACCGUGGAGAACAUGUUAAGGGCUCGCAAUGAGCAGCUCGCCCAUUAUGGGGAGCUCUUUGGUGUUAGAUUGAUCGCUACCAGGUCGACGACAUCUAGCAUUCUGGUUAGCCAAUGGGUCAGCGGUCAUUCAGCUUUUACGUACCCGGGACCACGCAGUUCGUCUUGUGUUCUAAACCAAACGCGUAGGUGGCGCUACUGACCGGAGCCGGACAUGAUUUCCUACCAAGAAAUUUGUUUGUGAAUGCAAGCCUAUCCUAGAGCAAGGUGUAAGCCAGGUCUAGUAACGGAGCGUUAUGAAGGCUGAGGAAUCUCAGUAAAUUUUCAGACUCGCAUGCUUUGAGAGUCGUCCAUUUAUUAUUACUUAGUAUAUACUCUUCUCUAGUCUACAGUCCACAGAUAGUGUCUGGCUAAUCCAACUCGUAUGUACGAAAACUAGCAAAGUUUAAGUGAAUUCUUUGCAUGAUUAUAUACGCAUUCAAAACCUUCUGAGGCGGAC